AUUGAACGCUGGCGGCAGGCCUAACACAUGCAAGUCGAACGAGUGGCGGACGGGUGAGUAAUGUCUGGGAAACUGCCUGAUGGAGGGGGAUAACUACUGGACACGGUAGCUAAUACCGCAUACCCUCAGAUGUUCCCAGAUGGGUUUAGCUAGUUGGUGGGGUAACGGCUCACCAAGGCGACGAUCCCUAGCUGGUCUGAGAGGAGGACCAGCCACACUGGAACUGAGACACGGUCCAGACUCCUACGGGAGGCAGCAGUGGGGAAUAUUGCACAAUGGGCGCAAGCCUGAUGCAGCCAUGCCGCGUGUAUGAAGAAGGCCUUCGGGUUGUAAAGUACUUUCAGCGGGGAGGCGUUACCCGCAGAAGAAGCACCGGCUAACUCCGUGCCAGCAGCCGCGGUAAUUC
rnacentral:rRNA from 1 species